AUUGAACGCUGGCGGCAUGCCUUACACAUGCAAGUCGAACGGCAGCACGGGUGCUUGCACCUGGUGGCGAGUGGCGAACGGGUGAGUAAUAUAUCGGAACGUACCUUAUCGUGGGGGAUAACGCAGCGAAAGCUGCGCUAAUACCGCAUACGCCCUGAGGGGGGAAAGCGGGGGGACCGUAAGGCCUCGCGCGAUUAGAGCGGCCGAUAUCUGAUUAGCUUGUUGGUGGGGUAAAAGCCCACCAAGGCGACGAUCAGUAGCUGGUCUGAGAGGACGAUCAGCCACACUGGGACUGAGACACGGCCCAGACUCCUACGGGAGGCAGCAGUGGGGAAUUUUGGACAAUGGGGGAAACCCUGAUCCAGCCAUCCCGCGUGUAUGAUGAAGGCCUUCGGGUUGUAAAGUACUUUGG
rnacentral:rRNA from 1 species